rnacentral:rRNA from 1 species
UCGAGAAUCUUCCGCAAUGGACGAAAGUCUGACGGAGCGACGCCGCGUGCAGGAUGAAGUGCUUCGGCAUGUAAACUGCUUUUAUAGGGGAGGAAGUUUAUUGACGUUACCCUAAGAAUAAGAGGUUGCUAAACUCGUGCCAGCAGCAGCGGUAAUACGAGUGCCUCAAGCGUUAUCCGGAAUCACUGGGCGUAAAGGGUGUGUAGGUGGUCAUAUUAGUCUUUUGUUAAAUUCUUCGGCUUAACCGGGGUCAAGCAAAAGAAACGGUAUGACUAGAGGAUGCAAGGGGUUUACGGAACUCAUGGUGUAGCGGUGAAAUGCGUUGAUAUCAUGGGGAACACCAAAAGCGAAGGCAGUAAACUGGGGCACUCCUGACACUGAAACACGAAAGCGUGGGGAU